CCCGGGGCGCACGCGGCUGGCAAAGAGCGCGCUUGGCCCGGGCGUGGGCCCCGAGUCGUUGUGCGGCGCCACGAAGAGCAGGUGCGCGGCGGUGAGCAGCAGGCGCUCGCGCGGCUCCAGCGUCUCGAUCACGUAGAAGACCUUCUUGGCGCCUUCGUCGCGGUCCAGGAAGGCUGCGAUGGCAGGCUGCCGGUCGCUGGUAACGGAACACAUCGGAGUUGGGUCUCGAGACAGCAAUUAAAAGACAAAAAGAGCCUGAUUUUAAAUGGUAGCAAGGCUGGAGAGCUUGUGAGACAGGCUGCCUUUCGCACUAUAUUAUAGCUGGCAGGGGCGCAUCUGAUUGGCCAAGCCGCACAAGCUUGUCUUCUGAUGUUAACCCUGAGAAAGACUACAUUUCUCCCCCCUCUGGCUGCUGUGGCUUUAUUUUCACCUGAAGGCUUCCAGUUUAAAAAAGAAAGAAAGAGAGAAAGAAAGAAAGAAAGAAAGAAAGAAAGAAAGAAAGAAAGAAAGAAAGAAAGAAAGAAAGUCUUUACUAAGGGUUCUACACACCAUUAUACACCACAGUCAUGCCUGAAACACACAGAAUGCACUGAUGCCCAGCACGUCUUCCUCUUCUCAUCUAAAUAAACAUGGUCCUCCUUGGCUGAGUUCUCCCAUCUCUGCCUUAGGCUGUGGUUGAAUUCAUUUACCACCUCUGGUUCUUACAACCUUUCUGCCUCUUCUUCUUCACAGAUUCCCCUGUCCUCCCAGUAAGGGACGUGAUGAAGACAUCCCACUAAGGGCUCCAGAGUCAUUUGCUUUCUACACACUUUCCAGCUGACAGCUAUGAGUUCCCCCAAGGACUUUGUCCAUAGGGAUGCCAACAAGAGGGGGCCAGGAAGAUGGAAAGUGUGCUCCACCUCCAAUCUAUGUCCAUGCUUCUUCCAGCUGGAUUCUUAAGAAGGACUUGACAUGUUUGUUGGGGUCCCAACAUCAGGCCCCAUUCUGUUGCUGAUACAAGACAGAGCGACUGAAAUGACCAAGUGAGCUGUGGUGCUCAGGCAAGACACCUUGCAAUGUGGAGAUCCUGUGAGCUCAGAAAGUGUUACAACAGCCCCAAGUGAGGUGAACUACAGAAAAGUAACCUGUGCAUUAUCAGCAGCAUCUAAGAUUCUGCUGACUGCUUCUCCAUACAACUUUGGAUGGUAAAGAAGAGGCUUCAAGGUGAUCUUGUCCAGAGCUUUGGCAUCCUCUUGGAAACUUGAAGACAAAGCCUGAGCCUUAAAGGAUUUCUGAUAAACUCUUCCAAGGUACCUGGAGAGGGGGACACUGUCUGAAGUGGCUCCCUGUCUGAACCUUGGCUCUUUGCACCCCACUUGGUCUCCUUUACCACACAGGGCUCUACUUUUCUGCAGUUCCUACAGAAUUCUAUUUCUGUCUAGUUCCUCUGCAGGAUUCUGUCCUCAGAAGGACCAGUCAAUCAGAGUUGCACCCUUGGGAGCAGGAUCUACCCCUGUAAGUCUCUGGGUUUCCAAAGAUGAGCACACAGCAUAUCACAUAUUUUCGAUGGAAGAAAUGGCUGAACCAGAGAAAAUCAGACUAAGAUGUCACCAUCCCAUGUGAGGGGCUCAGCUGAGAGCCUGCAUGCUCAUGAGUCCAAGUAGAGCCUUUUGGAGUGAAGUAGGGGAAUCUUGUCAGUAUGGUGUCUAUACCCACCAGAGGUUCACAGAACAGGGUGCUCUGCCUUCAUAGAGGGGUGUGAUAUCCAUGGAGACACAGUACCUUUAGGAGGGGCACAAUCCCUAUAGGAGAAAUGUUAUCCCCACAGAAUGGACAUUGCUGGACAGAGUACUCAUGAGAACACAGUAGCUCAAGGAGGAGGUCAAUCCACUGUAAAGCUGGCCAACUCACAGUUGGUUGGCUGUGUCCAGAUCCAUCCCACCAUAGUCUGUUUCUUCUUGCCUGGCCAUUGCUGCUGCUCACCACCCCAGCUCCACUUCUUGGCUCAAGCACAGUAGCAACAGCCACUACAGCCUGCUGCUGCCCAUGGUAAUAAAAGAUUGCAACUCUCCCAAGGGUCCAUGAUAUGGUUGGCCUGCCCUGCCUAGCCUUGUACUUACCAGACCUCUUCAUGCCCUUCAGGGUCUGUUACAUGCUCUCUGCAAUCCACAGAGAUGCCUACACAACUGAGCACAUGUCACUAAGUAUGAGAGACCUACUUUUUGCCCACUAUGUCUACUUCCUGUGUCAUACAUAGUUUCUGCUGCAGUGCUUUCUGCCUCUGUGUGAAAGUAGAUAUCUUGUUCAGUCAAUGAUACAUACACCAAGGUUGAAUGUACAGGACAAGGGCACAGUGGUCAUCAUAAGAGUCAGGAGAUGAUUCAUUCAACCUGAUGAGACCCUUCUCCAGUCAGCUCAUGGUCAGAGGCUAAUCCAUGGGAUGUCCUGUAGCACUGCCUUCCUUCGAAGGAAUCUGUUCUUAUAAGAACCUUCUCUUAUUGUUAGUUUAUUUUGAAUGAACCAUUUAAGGUCCACAUCUAAAAGAUCAGGCACCUAAGUGUUAGAGAAGUUGGAAGCUUAUAGAAAGCCGCAAUACUAAGUUGAUCUCCUCUUCUCUGAGUACUACACAGGAGGAUUCUACAUGCCAGAUGGUCCUUGUAAGAUCCAUCCAUGCCAGCACAGGAGAGAUAUGUUUCUUCUUAUGUCUAGGAUGAACAGCACAUUAACAACUCCCCGGUGGUGACAAUUAGGGGCAAUUUGUGAACUAAAAUUGGCCAGUUGCCUUAUUACUUUGGAGGGCUGCGACACAGUGGGAAGAAGAAGAGACUCAAGUCCUACUGAGCCAUACAUGUUGGAUACUCAUUCUCAGGGAUGGCCACAUGCUGACAUGGCAAGGAUGGAACAGGAAGGGGCUCCUCUUGUGCCGUUAUCAUAUCUGAGGAUGUGGACAUGAAGAAUAUUCAUCAACAUGGAAGAGUGACAAGGGAAUCCCCCACUGGUCCUAGCCCACUGGUCCUCCCCCAAUCUCUCUAAGGCGCACUAUUUGUCUCAGCCUCUGACAAUGAUGCAGCCAUAACCUCUACUGCCGUGAACACACAGCUUCCUCACCUGCCUUCCCCGUGGGCCUCAUUUCUGCAUGAUCUGUGCAACGUCAGAGCAGUCUACUCUGUACCUAUAAUAGCAUCUGCUGCCAUGUAGUUGGGUGACUGUAUCAUUCUUAUUGGGCACAUGGUGGCUCUUAUUUCCAAUACACAAUCUUAUGUAAUGAAGGAGUGAGCUGGGAAUUAAGAGCCUUGCAGCUGCUGUGAAAGGGUUCCUGCAGGACCAGGAUUCUUGGACCCAGUUGCUCUCUCCAGCUCUUCCCACUGCAAUGUACAUCCCUCUGUUUAUAAUAGGAAAUCCAAAAGGUAUUUACAAGGAAGCUUUCUCUACCCUGAACCACAAAUCAAGGGAGACUCUGAACUCCAUAUAUACUCUCUGUUCUGGACAUCAAAAUGGGAAUACUUAAAAAGGCAAUAUUCUCUGACAUUUAUCCCAGCGGCCAUGGAAUUCCCAGGAGAAAAAUCCUAAAGGACUCAGGACAACUGAACUCGAAGAAGCCAUGAAUAUACUAUUGUAACUGGACUCCAUCUCCAAUGUACCAGUGAGAUGAGGAAAGCAGAAGGACCUCUCCUUUAGGCAUGAUAUACCCUAGCACUUGCCAUUCAGCCUUGUUCAUAUCAGAAGUAUAUGUUCUCUCCAAUGCACAGAUCCGUCACUCUGAGUAAUUAAUUGUGUGUGGAAUUGCUAAUGAAUAAAGCCUCCAAGCUGUGGAAAGCAACUUUCCCUGG
rnacentral:lncRNA from 1 species